GGCAGGCCUAACACAUGCAAGUCGAGCGCGAACGGUCCUUCGGGACUUAUUAGAGCGGCGGACGGGUGAGUAAUGCAUAGGAAUCUGCCCAGUAGUGGGGGAUAGCCCGGGGAAACCCGGAUUAAUACCGCAUACGUCCUACGGGAGAAAGCAGGGGAUCUUCGGACCUUGCGCUAUUGGAUGAGCCUAUGUCGGAUUAGCUUGUUGGUAAGGUAACGGCUUACCAAGGCGACGAUCCGUAGCUGGUCUGAGAGGAUGAUCAGCCACACUGGGACUGAGACACGGCCCAGACUCCUACGGGAGGCAGCAGUGGGGAAUAUUGCACAAUGGGGGAAACCCUGAUGCAGCCAUGCCGCGUGUGUGAAGAAGGCCUUCGGGUUGUAAAGCACUUUCAGUAGGGAGGAAGGCCUGUAAGUUAAUACCUUGCAGGAUUGACGUUACCUACAGAAGAAGCACCGGCUAACUCCGUGCCAGCAGCCGCGGUAAUAC
rnacentral:rRNA from 1 species